rnacentral:rRNA from 1 species
AUGGAGCCGGAGAAGCAGCACAACGCCCAGCCUCCGGCGCCCCCUGCAGCUGCGCCGCCGCAGCCGAGGGCAGUGGCCCCGGCGCAUCCUCUGAUGCACUCGGCCAGGUGGCCAGUCUCCUUCACGCCUAUAAAGCCAGUGGUUGAAAUUAAGAGUGUUACUCCACCAAAGAGAAAGAAGCAGUGCAAUUGCAAAAAUUCACACUGCCUAAAGCUGUACUGUGAGUGUUUUGCAGCAGGACUUUAUUGCGAUGGCUGCAAUUGUAAACAAUGUGGAAAUAAAGUUGAGAAUGAACAUGCUAGGCAGGAGGCUAUUAACAGUACUAAGCUACGGAAUCCAAAGGCUUUUCAACCUAAGAUCGAAAACGUUCCAAGUACUCUUAGUGUUCGGAAGGAUGCUGGAGCACCUUCAGUUCCAAAACAUAAUAAAGGUUGUCACUGCAAAAAAUCAGGGUGUCUCAAGAAGUACUGUGAAUGCUUUCAAGCAAAUAUCCUUUGUUCCAAGAAUUGUAAAUGUAUGGAUUGCAAGAACUUCGAAGGAAGUGAGGAGCUACAGGCUAUAAUUCAAGGGGAUAAUGCAUCUGAUAAAAAUAACGUUCAGCAAGCAGCUAACGUCACUCUGAAUGGUGCCAUUGGAUCCUCUGGGUAUAAAUAUUCACCUGUACGCAGAAAAAGACACCCAGAAGACCCCCUUGGUCCAGAGGCUAACCACUUGGACGCUUCACAAGUUGCUUCUUCUAGUGGACUUGAAGGCUGUAUUGGUUAUCAGAGUAGAUCUAAAAUGGUCUAUAGGUCUCCGCUAGCAAACACUAUCCAUCCUACGGAUGUUAAUGAUCUUGCAAAUCAUUUGGUGAUUGUAUGCAGAAAGGCAACAGAAACAUUCCUGACAAUAGCUGACAAUAAAGUCGAGAUGGAAGUAGAGAGGGGAAUUUACACAAAUGCUGACCUAAACAAUGAUAAGAUGAAAAACCGUGAAGUUCAGAAUGGUGGUGUUAGUCAACCUGAUGUUGCAACCCAUAUAGAUCAGCGGACUGCUGGUGAUCUCGAAUCACCUUGCAAUAACACCCAAGAGGAUUAUAGACCUGCCUCUCCAGGAACACAGGCACUAUUGUGUGACGAGCAGGGCACCGCAUUUGGAUCAGAUUAUAGGACUUCAUUUCCAUCAGCAUUUUAUGAUCAGGACACUCCAGAGCUAAGCGCUCUGCAAGAAAAGACGGUGUUGACAGGGUUUCGAGACUACCUCCGGCUGCUUAUCACACGCGGGAAGAUAAAUGCCAAUAAUUCAGCCGGGAUGACAGAAGCCAACACAUCAUCCGAGCCCGCUAUGGAGCUGGAUGCUCGAAGAAACCAUGGAGCAACCACCGGCCCCGGUGUGAGUUCCCUUCCAUCAGAAGCUGUGGAAAGGCCAAAAGCCCCCGGCGGCCCCGAGAAUCCGAGAACAAGUGACCCCUCUGCAUAG